AUGGACUUUGGGUGGCCCGAGGGGGUGGGGCUGGCCCUCUCCUACCCCCCACUGCCCUUUACUCCCCCCACCCAGCCCCCGGCUCCCCAGGGGACUGGGUCACUCUGGACCUUGCUACUUCCUGCUCCUGGCUGCCACUGCUCAGAGACUAUGGAGCUGUGGAAGCAGCUGAGGCAGGCUGGACUGGUGCCCCCAGGGCUGGGCCCACCCCCACGGGCCCUGAGGGUGGUGCCCCCAGUGAAGAGGGUGGAUCAGACCCUCAUGCUCCCAGGGGCUGACACUGGAGGUGCCAGGGAGAGUCUGCUGUGGCUCUGGAAGGAGCUGGUGAACCUCCGCCUGGUGGAUGUCCAGCUGCUGGGCCAGCUAUGCAGCCUGGGCUUGGAGAUGGGGGCAAUUCAGGAGGAACUGAUCACCUUCCUGGAAGAGGAGGAGGACAGAGAGCUGGAAGGGAAGCAGGAGGGGGCCUGCGGUCCAGCCCCAGGUCACCGCCUCCCUGACUUUGAAAUGACUAUCUGAGGCCCUGCUGCUGUGCUUUUGGACCCAUGAAUGGUAUGUACCCCAGAAGUGGAAUUCCUGGAUUGUACGAGCCCGCAAGCCACAACUACUGAAGCCCACGCGCCUAGAACAAGAGAAGCCACUUCAGUGAGAAGCCCGCGCACUGCAACGAAGACCCA